ACUCAGGUGUUGUUGGGUAGGGGAGCGUUCUGUAAGCCUGCGAAGGUGGCCUGUGAGGGUUGCUGGAGGUAUCAGAAGUGCGAAUGCUGACAUAAGUAACGAUAAAGCGGGUGAAAAGCCCGCUCGCCGGAAGACCAAGGGUUCCUGUCCAACGUUAAUCGGGGCAGGGUGAGUCGACCCCUAAGGCGAGGCCGAAAGGCGUAGUCGAUGGGAAACGGGUUAAUAUUCCCGUACUUGGUGUUACUGCGAAGGGGGGACGGAGAAGGCUAUGUUGGCCGGGCGACGGUUGUCCCGGUUUAAGCGUGUAGGUGUGUGUUCCAGGUAAAUCCGGUUCACUUUAACACUGAGGCGUGAUGACGAGGCACUACGGUGCUGAAGCAACAAAUGCCCUGCUUCCAGGAAAAGCCUCUAAGCAUCAGGUAACAUCAAAUCGUACCCCAAACCGACACAGGUGGUCAGGUAGAGAAUACCAAGGCGCUUGAGAGAACUCGGGUGAAGGAACUAGGCAAAAUGGUGCCGUAACUUCGGGAGAAGGCACGCUGACACGUAGGUGAAGUGAUUUACUCAUGGAGCUGAAGUCAGUCGAAGAUACCAGCUGGCUGCAACUGUUUAUUAAAAACACAGCACUGUGCAAACACGAAAGUGGACGUAUACGGUGUGACGCCUGCCCGGUGCCGGAAGGUUAAUUGAUGGGGUCAGCGCAAGCGAAGCUCCUGAUCGAAGCCCCGGUAAACGGCGGCCGUAACUAUAACGGUCCUAAGGUAGCGAAAUUCCUUGUCGGGUAAGUUCCGACCUGCACGAAUGGCGUAAUGAUGGCCAGGCUGUCUCCACCCGAGACUCAGUGAAAUUGAACUCGCUGUGAAGAUGCAGUGUACCCGCGGCAAGACGGAAAGACCCCGUGAACCUUUACUAUAGCUUGACACUGAACAUUGAGCCUUGAUGUGUAGGAUAGGUGGGAGGCUUUGAAGUGUGGACGCCAGUCUGCAUGGAGCCGACCUUGAAAUACCACCCUUUAAUGUUUGAUGUUCUAACGUGGACCCGUGAUCCGGGUUGCGGACAGUGUCUGGUGGGUAGUUUGACUGGGGCGGUCUCCUCCUAAAGAGUAACGGAGGAGCACGAAGGUUGGCUAAUCCUGGUCGGACAUCAGGAGGUUAGUGCAAUGGCAUAAGCCAGCUUGACUGCGAGCGUGACGGCGCGAGCAGGUGCGAAAGCAGGUCAUAGUGAUCCGGUGGUUCUGAAUGGAAGGGCCAUCGCUCAACGGAUAAAAGGUACUCCGGGGAUAACAGGCUGAUACCGCCCAAGAGUUCAUAUCGACGGCGGUGUUUGGCACCUCGAUGUCGGCUCAUCACAUCCUGGGGCUGAAGUAGGUCCCAAGGGUAUGGCUGUUCGCCAUUUAAAGUGGUACGCGAGCUGGGUUUAGAACGUCGUGAGACAGUUCGGUCCCUAUCUGCCGUGGGCGCUGGAGAACUGAGGGGGGCUGCUCCUAGUACGAGAGGACCGGAGUGGACGCAUCACUGGUGUUCGGGUUGUCAUGCCAAUGGCACUGCCCGGUAGCUAAAUGCGGAAGAGAUAAGUGCUGAAAGCAUCUAAGCACGAAACUUGCCCCGAGA
rnacentral:rRNA from 2 species